rnacentral:rRNA from 1 species
UAAGCAAGAUGUGAAAUUGUACGGCUCAACCGUAUACACAUAUUUUGAACUGACAAGCUAGAGUAUAUGAGAGGUCACUGGAAUUUCUAGUGUAGGAGUGAAAUCCGUAGAUAUUAGAAGGAACACCGAUGGCGUAGGCAGGUGACUGGCAUAUUACUGACGCUAAGGCACGAAAGCGUGGGGAGCGAACCGGAUUAGAUACCCGGGUAGUCCACGCCGUGAACUAUGGAUGCUA